CAUGAGAGUUGGUGAAGGUGUGGAAUACCAGAUGGGAUUGUUCGCCGGAAAGAAUUCUAGCGCCUAAGGGUGUUCGCCGAAAUUGGCAAAAUACUCAUACCGAUUUUAGCCGGAGAAGCUCAAACGCCACAUUUUACUUUGUAUAAUUUCAACGGAAAACGUUGGUUAUUAAAUUUAAAGUGUCCACAUUGCUACCCAAGUUGUUUUUACAAAUAACUUAUUAAGGAUGAGGUCGAGAAGUACCUACAUUUACUUGCUCCUUGUGCUACUAAUCGUAAGCGAACUGCCAAUCGGAUCUGCUGAUCCACUUGAAAAUGACAGUGAUGCACCAAAUGACGAGCCCGACAAUGACUCUGUAGAUGGCGCAAAAGUUCUCCUUCACGACGAGGAUUGUUUUAAAUAUGGGAGAUAAACUAGAGAAAGCGACGCAUAAGGCAACUUGCAAAAUGUUAUUCGACUUAAGAAGUAUUUAAUUAUGUAAAAAAUUAUUAUUAUAAAAAUAUGUAAAAAAUAUACAAAUAUUAAAAGCA